GACGAACGCUGGCGGCGUGCUUAACACAUGCAAGUCGAACGGAAAGGCCCUGCUUUUGUGGGGUGCACGAGUGGCGAACGGGUGAGUAACACGUGAGUAACCUGCACUUGACUUUGGGAUAACUUUUGGAAACUGGGGCUCAUAUCGGAUAGGAGCUACUGCUGCAUGGUGGGGGAUGGAAAGUUUCGGCGGUUGGGGAUGGACUCGCGGCUUAUCAGCUUGUUGGUGGGGUAGUGGCUUACGAAGGCUUCGACGGGUAGCCGGCCUGAGAGGGUGACCGGCCACAUUGGGACUGAGAGACGGACCAGACUCCUACGGGAGGCAGCAGUGGGGAAUAUUGCACAAUGGGCGGAAGCCUGAUGCAGCAGCGCCGCGUGCGGGAUGACGGCCUUCGGGUUGUAAACCGCUUUCUCCGGUGACGAGGCGGUAGUGACGGUAAUGGGUAAGGAAGCACCGGCUAACUACGUG
rnacentral:rRNA from 1 species